rnacentral:lncRNA from 1 species
GGGGUGCGCCGUGCCGGAUACCGAGUGCCGGGCUCCCACCUCUGCUUCGUCGUGUCGAUACAUGGGAUCUACCAGAAGCUCCCAAGCAUCACGCUCCACCUGGCCGGUGGCGCCCAGCUUACGAUCAAGUGGGAUCUACUGUUUGUGACAAAAAUGCACCACGGAGCCCAGCACGCCUGCUUCCUCAUCUUUCCGGACGAGAAGAUGACGGUUCUUGGCGCCGCGCAACAGGUGGACACGCGCUUCACCAUUGAUGUCGACCAUAGGCUACUCUACUUUGCUCCGGAGAAUUGCGGGAACGACAGUAGCUAGAUCAAUACGCCUUUCUUUCUUAUGCACUAGAUGCCGCUGGUGCAAGAACUGUAUGCAUGGGCACAAAUAAAUAAAUAAAUAAAUAAAUAAUUGAUCAGAACUUUUGGGGUGAUUUUCUCUCAAGUACUAAUUUUGGACUAGAUGUCAAGAAAAUAUCAUGCCACCCGUGUGAAAUUUGAUGCGAUUUGAUUUCAUACUUGCAAGAAUCAGUG